GAUGAACGCUGGCGGCGUGCCUAAUACAUGCAAGUAGAACGCUGAAGGAAGGAGCUUGCUCUUUCCGGAUGAGUUGCGAACGGGUGAGUAACGCGUAGGUAACCUGCCUGGUAGCGGGGGAUAACUAUUGGAAACGAUAGCUAAUACCGCAUAACAGUAGAUGUUGCAUGAUAUCUACUUAAAAGGUGCAAUUGCACCACUACCAGAUGGACCUGCGUUGUAUUAGCUAGUUGGUGAGGUAACGGCUCACCAAGGCGACGAUACAUAGCCGACCUGAGAGGGGGAUCGGCCACACUGGGAAGGAGACACGGCCCAGACUCCUACGGGAGGCAGCAGUAGGGAAUCUUCGGCAAUGGACGGAAGUCUGACCGAGCAACGCCGCGUGAGUGAAGAAGGGUUUCGGAUCGUAAAGCUCUGUUGUAAGAGAAGAACGAGUGUGAGAGUGGAAAGUUCACACUGUGACGGUAUCUUACCAGAAAGGGACGGCUAACUACGUG
rnacentral:rRNA from 1 species